UACAGAGGUCCCGAGCGUUGUUCGGAUUCAUUGGGCGUAAAGGGUGCGUAGGUGGCGAGGUAAGUUUGAUGUGAAAUCUCCGAGCUCAACUCGGAAAACUGCAUUGAAAUACUAUCUUGCUAGAGGGGUUGGAGGGGGAGACUGGAAAUUCUCGGUGUAGCAUGAAAUGCGUAGAUAUCGAGAGGAACACCAGUGGCAAGGCGAGUCUCUAGACAACUCCUACUGAGGCACGAAAAGCUAGGGGGAGC
rnacentral:rRNA from 1 species